rnacentral:rRNA from 2 species
CGGGAGGCAGCAGUAGGGAAUCUUCCACAAUGGACGCAAGUCUGAUGGAGCAACGCCGCGUGAGUGAAGAAGGCUUUCGGGUCGUAAAACUCUGUUGUUGGAGAAGAAUGGUCGGCAGAGUAACUGUUGUCGGCGUGACGGUAUCCAACCAGAAAGCCACGGCUAACUACGUGCCAGCAGCCGCGGUAAUACGUAGGUGGCAAGCGUUAUCCGGAUUUAUUGGGCGUAAAGCGAGCGCAGGCGGUUUUUUAAGUCUGAUGUGAAAGCCCUCGGCUUAACCGAGGAAGCGCAUCGGAAACUGGGAAACUUGAGUGCAGAAGAGGACAGUGGAACUCCAUGUGUAGCGGUGAAAUGCGUAGAUAUAUGGAAGAACACCAGUGGCGAAGGCGGCUGUCUGGUCUGUAACUGACGCUGAGGCUCGAAAGCAUGGGUAGCGAACAGGAUUAGAUACCCUGGUAGUCCAUGCCGUAAACGAUGAAUGCUAGGUGUUGGAGGGUUUCCGCCCUUCAGUGCCGCAGCUAACGCAUUAAGCAUUCCGCCUGGGGAGUACGACCGCAAGGUUGAAACUCAAAGGAAUUGACGGGGGCCCGCACAAGCGGUGGAGCAUGUGGUUUAAUUCGAAGCAACGCGAAGAACCUUACCAGGUCUUGACAUCUUUUGAUCACCUGAGAGAUCAGGUUUCCCCUUCGGGGGCAAAAUGACAGGUGGUGCAUGGUUGUCGUCAGCUCGUGUCGUGAGAUGUUGGGUUAAGUCCCGCAACGAGCGCAACCCUUAUGACUAGUUGCCAGCAUUUAGUUGGGCACUCUAGUAAGACUGCCGGUGACAAACCGGAGGAAGGUGGGGAUGACGUCAAAUCAUCAUGCCCCUUAUGACCUGGGCUACACACGUGCUACAAUGGAUGGUACAACGAGUUGCGAGACCGCGAGGUCAAGCUAAUCUCUUAAAGCCAUUCUCAGUUCGGACUGUAGGCUGCAACUCGCCUACACGAAGUCGGAAUCGCUAGUAAUCGCGGAUCAGCACGCCGCGGUGAAUACGUUCCCGGGCCUUGUACACACCGCCCGUCACACCAUGAGAGUUUGUAACACCCGAAGCCGGUGGCGUAACCCUUUUAGGGAGCGAGCCGUCUAA